AAUGACCACCAAAGCAGCCCCCCUUUUUCUUUCUUUUUGCCUGGAUCGAACACACCCACAAGACACACAUACAAAAAAAAAACACACUCUAUUUUAUAAAAUGAUUUGGCAAGGAGGAAUCAAAAGGGAGAUUAAAGGAAAGGGUUUUAUAACUAUAAUAAUUAGGGUUUAUCAUCAUCAUCUUCAUCAUUUUCCUUCAAGAACACAAAUUUUGGUUUUGGAUAGACGUGGAGACUAGACUGCUUAUUUUCUCGGACUACUCAUACUUUUAGCUCUUUGAUCGCUAAGGUAACCAACAGUAAGUCUUGGAUCAUCUUGGCAUUUUAGGGCCAUUCUUUUGCUUUGGACAUAUAAUUAACGUCAGACAUUGGAGGACUAUUAUAUUUUUAGUUCUAAUUGUACUAGACGGUCCAAAUAUUUAUCUUGUAUUAAGUGGGCCCAUUUUCAUAUAUGGAUGACUUGUAUUCGUAUUCUGGGGUCCACAUUUGAACGAUUGUACUUGUAUUAGACUUGUAUUUGAUAUUAAAUGGAUGUAAUAUCUAUUAGCCUAUGGUUAGUACGCAA